CCUACGGGAGGCAGCAGUGGGGAAUAUUGGACAAUGGGCGCAAGCCUGAUCCAGCAAUGCCGCGUGUGUGAAGAAGGCCUUCGGGUUGUAAAGCACUUUAGGCAGGGAAGAAAAAAUCGGCGAUAACAUCGCCGAUCUUGACGGUACCUGAGGAAUAAGCACCGGCUAACUCUGUGCCAGCAGCCGCGGUAAUACAGAGGGUGCAAGCGUUAAUCGGAUUUACUGGGCGUAAAGCGUGUGUAGGUGGUUAGAAAAGUCGAUUGUGAAAUCCCUGGGCUCAACCCGGGAACUGCUUUCGAGACUGUUUGACUAGAAUUCGGUAGAGGGAGGCGGAACUCCAGGUGUAGCGGUGAAAUGCGUAGAUAUCUGGAAGAACACCAAUGGCGAAGGCAACCUCCUGGGCCUGAAUUGACACUGAGACACGAAAGCGUGGGGAUCAAACAGGAUUAGAUACCCUGGUAGUCCACGCCGUAAACGAUGAGAACUUGACGUCGGUUUGCUCUGCGAGUCGGUGUCGUAGUCUACGACGAUAAGUUACUUCCGUCCGUCGGGGAGGUACGGGCCGGCCGAACGGUUAGGUAAACGUUAAAGUUAGUAAGUUAGUACGGCGUGAGACGUACGCCGACGGACGACGACGAGGGAGGAGGG
rnacentral:rRNA from 1 species